GCAAAAAACAGAGACAUCUGUCAAGAUGCCCAAUAGGGCAUGUAAAAAAUGUAUAUUGAAUCAUCACUAUCAAAGUUGAACUAUCCACUUAUGUUUCUAUAGGUAUCUUCACUUUAGUCAAUUUCUAAUGAUAUAAAAAAAAAAGUCAAAAUUUAGCAAGGCUAUAUGAAGAGAACCUGUACAAUCACAAAUUAACUAGAGUUCAUAAAGAGGCAGAGUGUUGAUAUCAAUCUUACACAGUUGACACAUCAAGUAAUUAUGUACACAGUGCCAGUAGGAGACAUUGAGAAUUGGGUCUUUGUUCGAUGGAACAGUCCAGACAGACCCAUGGCAACAAUGAAGUCUAUUGCAUAUGUCCCAUGUCAUACAGUCACCACAGCCCUGCUUAUAUACAGUAGGACAAAGGAAGAUAAAUAUUACAUAGUUCAUUUCUUUAUUAUUUAUGUCUUGAUAAAAAUGACAAUAAAGUGUAUUAAUUUAUAGCUGUAAAUUUUAUUUUAGGGCUUUGCUAUCAGAAUUUAACUUCUUUGUUCUAUCUUUAUGGAAACAAUACCUUAUCCAGAAAGUAAAUACCCCCCCCCCCCC